ACGCCGCACACACAGAUCCUAUUGAUCACGUGGAAUGCGCAAUUUUUUGGUUCUUUUUUUCCUCCUCUUUCUCGUUUUCCUUUUCAUCGCCAGCAGAAUCCCCACCGAACGGAGUCCUUGCGAAUCGGGUUAUCGCUCCGAUUCUGCUUUAUAAGUGUGGAAACAGAAGGGAAGAGAAUCGCCAUCGUCAUUGACUAAUUUACAGACUCAAUCGUCUACUCAGUUUACUUACUUAACUUACUCCGACGGUCCUGCCGAUCACCCUGGAUCGAAUGCUCUCUCGAGUUGCUUUGCAGCAUUCCAUCGCUGGAGAGUGUAAAACAAAUCCACGUGGAGCAGUCCGAUGUAGAAUACGCAUGAGACCCAGGAAUACACUGAAAUCUUUCAGAAGGAUGUCAAUAUGUACACACACGUAGAAUGAAAUACCUACAUUUAUUUUUGCUUCAGUAUACAAACAGAAUGCUAUGAGAUACUGCAGCAUUAGGAAUUCAAACUGAUACGCUCAAGGGGCUGGUGAAAGCUGUCCUGACCUUUAUCGAGGAUAUCUAAAGUUGAAUGGCGUGACAGGAAUAAACAUACCUUCUCAACGUAUACCAAAUCCAAGAAUAUAAUGAGACUUCUGGACGUUAAUCGACGGCUUUCUCGGUCAUCCACCUACGUAAUUGUCAGUUGGAGCAGAAAGACUAGUGGAAGUGUCGGCGGUACCUGGCGCGAUGCAGACGCGCCUGAGACCGGCAAGAAAGCAAGCGGUUUUGUUUUGACCGAUGUCUUUUCUCGCGUGUCUCUCUCCGCGUGGCCGUGGACAAGGUCAAGGCCGUUGCCUUCCUCUACCUCUACCUUCCGCACCUUCUCCUCCUCAUAGUCAUUUUCUCUCUCUCGCACACACACAUAUAUAUACUCUUACCCGGGCUACCUACGCUAGAGCCAAAUAAAAAUAUCCCCACGUUCGCCAAUCUCACCUACUGUUAGAUUCUCGGUGGUCCUUCGACCACUUGUAACUCGUGGCAAUGGCGAUAACGACUUUACCCAGGAAUGGCACUAUAUACAAAAUCAGAGCAACAAGUUGAAAUCGUACCAAGUAGACAGUGUCCAAAUUGAUUGACGUACCAGGAUAUCUGACUAUAAAAUUAUCAGUCUGGAAUUGUUACCCACGUUGUGGUGGACAAGCUGAUCAUGAUGGGUUCUGUAUAAUAUCUUCUGGUGUCAAGAACACGCGGUCAAUCGCGUGUCUUAUGGCCAUCCUCCGUAUAAUUGAUUCGCCUCCUGCAUCGUCAACUUCCUCGACCCUCCCUCUGGAUAUCCCAACGAGUCAACAGUCAAUAUUCUUCACCCGGGUGUCUUCGAUUCACUCAUUUAUACUCACUCAGCACGCCUGUAUGCAACAAGAUGGUAACUUAGCGACACAACGCUUUAUUUUUUAUUCCUCUCAUUUGUUUUUCUUUUAUCGCCACUUAGCCUCAUUCCACUUUAACUUCAACAUACGUAGAUGUAUGCUAUACCGUUUGAUGCUCCAUUAGAAUAAUGAUUUUAGUAUACUCGAUACUAUAGUAUGAGUAGAUAUUUAAUAUGUCUAUUAAUACAUUGGUAUCAGGAUAUACACUAGGAUUGAUUGAUAGUUAUUAAAAUAAAAUUUCUCCAUUCUGUUGAGAGGGUUGAUAAUAUUCUAAAGUAAGAUAUUUCUCAUACUAAUAAAGCCUACUUGUGAAUUCUAUGUGGAACAAUAAUGUACAUGUAACCAUAGUUACGAUUCAAUAUAGUAUUCAAGGUCUCACCAGCAUUAUGCAAA